rnacentral:rRNA from 1 species
UACGUAGGGGGCAAGCGUUGUCCGGAAUCAUUGGGCGUAAAGAGCGCGUAGGCGGUCCGGUAAGUCCGCUCUGAAAGUCCAGGGCUCAACCCUGGGAUGCGGGUGGAUACUGUCGGGCUCGAGUCCGGAAGAGGCGAGUGGAAUUCCUGGUGUAGCGGUGAAAUGCGCAGAUAUCAGGAGGAACACCAAUGGCGAAGGCAGCUCGCUGGGACGUGACUGACGCUGAGACGCGAAAGCGUGGGGAGCAAGCAGG